AUAUCCUACGGGGGGCAGCAGUGGGGGAUACUGCACAAUGGGGGAAACCCUGAUGCAGCGAUGCCGCGUGAGUGAAGACGGCCUUCGGAUUGUAAACUUCUAUCAAUAGGGAAGAAAGAAAUGACGGUACCUAAAUAAGAAGCCCCGGCUAACUACGUGCCAGCAGCCGCGGUAAUACGUAGGGGGCAAGCGUUAUCCGGAAUUACUGGGUGUAAAGGGAGAGUAGGCGGCAAGGUAAGCGAUAUGUGAAAGCCUUAAGCUUAACUUAAGGAUGGCAUAACGAACUAUCUAGCUAGAGUACAGGA
rnacentral:rRNA from 1 species